rfam:Selenomonas sputigena ATCC 35185, complete genome.
GGGGACGUAAAGGUUUCGACGGGGGUAGAUGGUGCAUGGGCAGCGAGCCGGGGGGUCACCAUCCCGUCAGCAAGGUGAAACUUUUAUUUAAACAUAAAAGCAAACGAAGACUACGCUCUGGCGGCUUGACGCCAGCCUCUGUCCGCUUAGCUCCCGCCUGAGCGGAUAAGAGGACAACUGCGGGAUACCCGAGAGCUGAUUUUCGCAGGCUCGAAGGGGAAACUUUUGCGGAAUCGGAUGACGGAAGCCUGUCUGUGGGCGUUCAGAUUCUUAAAGCAAACCACAGACUGCGCUCGGAGAAGCCGAUGAAACAAUGCUUUCGGACAGGAGUUCGAUUCUCCUCGUCUCCACCA